rnacentral:rRNA from 1 species
GAUGAACGCUGGCGGCGUGCCUAACACAUUCAAGUCGAACGGACUUAACAUGGAAGCUUGCUUCCGAGUUAAGUUAGUGGCGGACGGGUGAGUAACGCGUGGGUGACCUGCCUUAUACUGGGGGAUAACACUUAGAAAUAGGUGCUAAUACCGCAUAAGCGCACAGUUCUGCAUGGAACAGUGUGAAAAACUCCGGUGGUAUAAGAUGGACCCGCGUCUGAUUAGCUUGUUGGUGAGGUAACGGCUCACCAAGGCGACGAUCAGUAGCCGGCCUGAGAGGGUGAACGGCCACAUUGGGACUGAGACACGGCCCAAACUCCUACGGGAGGCAGCAGUGGGGAAUAUUGCACAAUGGGGGGAACCCUGAUGCAGCGACGCCGCGUGAGCGAAGAAGUAUUUCGGUAUGUAAAGCUCUAUCAGCAGGGAAGAAAAUGACGGUACCUGACUAAGAAGCCCCGGCUAACUACGUG